CGCGUAGGCGGCCUUCUAAGUCAGACGUGAAAUCCCCCGGCUUAACCUGGGAACUGCGUCUGAUACUGGGAGGCUUGAGUGCGGGAGAGGGAUGCGGAAUUCCAGGUGUAGCGGUGAAAUGCGUAGAUAUCUGGAGGAACACCGGUGGCGAAGGCGGCAUCCUGGACCGACACUGACGCUGAGGCGCGAAAGCUAGGGUAGCAAACG
rnacentral:rRNA from 1 species